rnacentral:rRNA from 1 species
UAAAUUGUUCAUUAAUUGUGAACUAGAAUGAAGGAAAAAAUGGUUUAAAUCUGUCUUAAAAUUUAUAGAUUGAAAUCAAAUUUUUUUGUAAAAAUGCAAAAAUAAAUUUUAGGGACAAGAAGACCCUAUAAAGCUUACUUGAAUUUUUUAAUAAUAUAUUUUUCAAAAUUCAUUUGAUUGGGGCAAUAAUUUAUUUAUGUUUAUUAUAAAUUAAAUAGAAUUAAUAGAAUUUUAUUAGAAAGAUCCAUUAUUAUUGAAAAACGAUUAAGUUACUUUAGGGAUAACAGGAUAAUUUUUAUUAGAAAGUUCUUAUUAAUAAUAAAGUUUAUUACCUCGAUGUUGAAUUAAUUUAAUAUAAUGGUGAAGUUACUAUUUGUAUUUGACUGUUCGUCAAUUAAAUAAUUACAUGAUCUGAGUUC